rnacentral:misc_RNA from 1 species
CUGCACCUUAGCAAGUGACUGCAGAACGUCAGUAUUCUCAUUCCUAGGAGUGUGACCUUCAUCCAAAAUCAGAAUUGUAGGUCGCUUGAGCAAUAUUUCCUGACAACUAGCUGCAACCUUAUUGUUUACAUCAUCACAAACAAUAGAGGAGAAUUGUUUGUACCCUAAGAAAAGGAUACUCUUAUGCUCCACCCACUGUUUCAAGACUUCCAGUUGC